CAAGUCGAACGCGAAAACCCCGCAAGGGGUUAGUAGAGUGGCAAACGGGUGAGUAACACGUGGGUGACCUACCUUCGAAUGGGGGAUAACGUCCCGAAAGGGACGCUAACACCGCAUAACAUCCUGCUUCUGAACAAGUGGAGAUCAAAGCCGGGGAUCGCAAGACCUGGCGUUUGAAGAGGGGCCCGCGUCUGAUUAGCUAGUUGGUGAGGUAACGGCUCACCAAGGCGACGAUCAGUAUCCGGCCUGAGAGGGCGGACGGACACACUGGGACUGAGACACGGCCCAGACUCCUACGGGAGGCAGCAGUGGGGAAUUGUUCGCAAUGGGCGCAAGCCUGACGACGCAACGCCGCGUGGAGGAUGAAGGUCUUCGGACUGUAAACUCCUGUUGCCCGGGACGAAACGUCUCGACCUAACACGUCGAGAUCUGACGGUACCGGGUGAGGAAGCCCCGGCUAACUCUGUGCCAGCAGCCGCGGUAAUACAGAGGGGGCAAGCGUUGUUCGGAAUUACUGGGCGUAAAGGGCGCGUAGGCGGCCUUCUAAGUCGAACGUGAAAUCCCCGGGCUCAACCCGGGAACUGCGUCCGAUACUGGAAGGCUUGAAUCCGGGAGAGGGAUGCGGAAUUCCAGGUGUAGCGGUGAAAUGCGUAGAUAUCUGGAGGAACACCGGUGGCGAAGGCGGCAUCCUGGACCGGCAUUGACGCUGAGGCGCGAAAGCCAGGGGAGCAAACGGGAUUAGAUACCCCGGUAGUCCUGGCCCUAAACGAUGAAUGCUUGGUGUGGCGGGUAUCGAUCCCUGCCGUGCCGAAGCUAACGCAUUAAGCAUUCCGCCUGGGGAGUACGGUCGCAAGGCUGAAACUCAAAAGGAAUUGACGGGGGCCCGCACAAGCGGUGGAGCAUGUGGUUCAAUUCGAC
rnacentral:rRNA from 1 species